UUAUUCCAUUAAAGGAAAAUCAUCAAGUGGAACUAAAAAUACAAAAUGAAAAAAGAGUGAUGUGAGCUGCCCUGGCAGACGGACAAGAAAGAAAGUGAAUACUAUUUCAGGACUUGUCACCUAGGAGUCAUCAGUAAGUUGCAUCCAUUAAACAAAGAAAAGUCAUUCAACCAGCCAUCUGGAGACAACAUGGGCAAAAAAGAAGAGCAGGAAGCGGGCAAGAAGGGAAACUGUCCUAGAAAGAGAGUAAAGAAGACCGGAAACAGGAAAGAGAAUUUUUAAGCUCUACGGGCAAAGGUUAACACUGAGGAGAAACUGCUGGAAGUAGAAUCCAAAUUAAGUAAGAGAAGAAACAGAGACCAG
rnacentral:lncRNA from 10 species